rnacentral:rRNA from 1 species
GAGGGGGCAAGCGUUGUUCGGAAUUACUGGGCGUAAAGGGCGCGUAGGCGGCCUGCUAAGUCGAACGUGAAAUCCCCGGGCUCAACCCGGGAACUGCGUCCGAUACUGGCAGGCUUGAAUCCGGGAGAGGGAUGUGGAAUUCCAGGUGUAGCGGUGAAAUGCGUAGAUAUCUGGAGGAACACCGGUGGCGAAGGCGGCAUCCUGGACCGGUAUUGACGCUGAUGCGCGAAAGCCAGGGGAGCAAACGGGAUUAGAUACCCCGGUAGUCCUGGCCCUAAACGAUGAAUGCUUGGUGUGGCGGGUAUCGAUCCCUGCCGUGCCGAAGCUAACGCAUUAAGCAUUCCGCCUGGGGAGUACGGUCGCAAGGCUG